rnacentral:rRNA from 1 species
UGGGAGUGGGCUGCAAAAGAAGUAGGUAGUUUAACCUUCGGGGGGACGCUUACCACUUUGUGGUUCAUGACUGGGGUGAAGUCGUAACAAGGUAGCGCUAGGGGAACCUGGCGCUGGAUCACCU